GGCUCUCUCGGGAGCUUUC
rnacentral:snRNA from 1 species